rnacentral:misc_RNA from 1 species
AACGCACGAGACCUGCGGACCUGCGGAGGGAUCAUUAUCAAUUUACAGCGGACUUCGGUCCUGUCUGCACCCUUGUCUUUUGCGUACUAUAUGUUUCCUCGGUGGGCUUGCCUGCCGAUAGGACACUUAUAAACUCUUUUGUAAUUGCAAUCAGCGUCAGAAAACUAUAAUAGUUACAACUUUUAACAAUGGAUCUCU